rnacentral:lncRNA from 1 species
GAGGAAUGUGGAGCAGAUGACUCACUUGCUAAUCUCGGCUGGGAGAAGUGCUUCCUCCAAGAGAUUAGUGCGAGCGCGCUGCUGCGCUAAUCCUGAGAAGGUGCUGGCUCAGCACCGUGCCUGGACCUGGGAGGCAGGACCAGGACCGGGCUGAAGCCAAGCAUAUCCCAAUCAACCCACUUCUCUCCACCCUGUCCUCCUCAUCCAGCAGUUGUCCCUCAGAAACAUCUGGGUGUCAAACGCGCAUGCCUGGUGUUUGGGAAACCACCGC